GGAGAGAUGGCCGAGUCUGGUUGAUGGCGCUCGACUCGAAAUCGAGUAGGGGUAAUUCCCUCGGGGGUUCGAAUCCCUCUCUCUCCGCCC
rnacentral:tRNA from 1 species